ensembl:snRNA U6 U6 spliceosomal RNA
GUGCUCGCUUCAGCAGCACAUAUACUAAAACUGGAACGAUCCAGAGAUUAGCAUAGUGCCGGUACAAGAAUAACACGCAAAUUUAUUGAAGCAUUCCUUGCUUAA